rnacentral:rRNA from 1 species
CCUACGGGCGGCAGCAGUGGGGAAUAUUGCACAAUGGGGGAAACCCUGAUGCAGCGACGCCGCGUGAGGGAAGAAGGAUUUCGGAUUGUAAAGCUCUAUUAGUAGGGAAGAAAAUGACGGUACCUGACUAAGAAGCACCGGCUAACUCCGUGCCAGCAGCCGCGGUAAUACGGAGGGUGCAAGCGUUAUCCGGAUUUACUGGGCGUAAAGGGAGCGUAGGCGGGAGUGCAAGUCUGAAGUGAAAGCCGGGGGCUUAACCCCCGAACUGCAUUGGAAACUGUUGGGCUAGAGUGCAGGAGAGGUAGGUGGAAUUCCUGGUGUAGCGGUAAAAUGCGUAGAGAUUAAGAGGAACACCAAUUGCGAAGGCGACCUACUAGACUAUAACUGACGUUGAGGCGCGAAAGCGUGGGGAGCAAACAGGAUUAGAUACCCGAGUAGUC